rnacentral:lncRNA from 1 species
GGGAAGCAAAAUAAGUACACAAAGGCCGCAGCGAACUUGGUAACGUAUGUUUCAGUUAUUAAUUGGGUAACGUUUCUUCUCAAGCCAGCGGAUGCCAUUCCCUUUGUGGACCUCAGAAGGUGAGAUGUUUGAGUUCUUUAGGGAAAGAGGAAAAGGACUCACAACGCAUUGAAGGGGAUGCACAGUCCACGUGAUAGAGUGAAAUCAUACACCAUAAGAAGUAGGGAAGUUAUAGAGGUCUAUAUAAGGUGGUGGAUGCUAUCUAGCUAUAGUAUCAACAAAUGCUCACUGAGGUGAAGUGAUUUAGGUGUGGAGAGGUGGUGUUUGAUGGGAUUAUGUGAGGGACAGCAUGGGGAUUGAGAAAUGUGGUGAUUAGAUCAAGGAGUGCAUGUCCACAACUUGUCAUGAUAAAAAAAA